rnacentral:lncRNA from 1 species
UUUAUCCUACUGUCGGUUUCUCAAAAUUGAAGAAUAAGGCGAUCUACCGACGGACGACCUUAGUUUGAUGCUCAUCGGUAAAUUACCUGUAAGUUAGAUAUGUUUCCCUUAAUUCUCUGUGAUAUCUAUAUUGUUAAGUUUAAAUGCUUAUGAAGAUCAAAAAUAAGACAGAUCUAACUUCUUUUCUUUUUCAAUCUGUUUGGCAGGUUGUAACCGAUUACUUUCUUUCUUCCAAUAAGAUAGAACGUGUUGUGAUGACUUCAAAGAGAGUAAAAACGGAUUCAAAGUUUAAGCCGUAAAAAUUCAGAUGGACACCGAAACUCGAAAGGUAUAUUUUAAAUGCAUGUGUUAAAAUUGUAGCUCCAUUAUACAUACGAAAGUAUUUUUACAAUUAAAACUUCCUAAAUAUUUUUUAAAAAAGCAAAAUAAUAUUUUUCUACCAUAAAGUUUUAUUCUUUGUAAUUUUUAAUAUAAACAUUUUGUUUUUAAAUUAUAAUAUUUUGUUUUCAUUUAUUUUUGUUUUCAUUUAUUUUUAUAUAAACAUUUUGUUUUCAAUUCUAAAUUGGUAUAUAUUAUAAUAUAUAUGUGUCUAUCAAUUUUUAAAUUACAAUAAGUUUACGGUAUAUUUUUUUCAUUGAAUAGAUUGUUUCAGACUUUCACAUGUAUUUGUAUCUUCUUCUAUAUAUAUAUUUUCGGAUUAUUAUUUCAUUAUUAAAAUCGUAAAUAUAUAUAUAAAGAUUAGUAAAAUAUUGUUUUAUUGUCAUAUUCAAAAAUAUUGUUUUAUUGCCAUAUUCAAAAAUAUUGUAACAUUGCACAAAUUUAGAACGUUUUUAAAAAAUUAAACUUUUCGCAUCAUAGAUUUAUAUUAUCGAGUAAAUAAUUAAACAUUUAGUUUUUGUUUAAUUUUUAAAAUAAAUUAUAUAGUUUAAAAUUUGUUUUCAUUGGUUUAAGGUAGUAAAGAUUAAUCAUUGUUAGAUAAUAUGAUUUUUGUUAUUUAAAAAAAAUCUUUAUAAUUUUAAAAGUUAACACCGACAAAUAUUUAAAUAAUUAACAUAUGGAGGUAUAGUAUUACAACAUUAAAUUAUAUCUAUUUAAUCUAUACUAUCUAUAAAUUCAAUAAAUCAUCUAUUGUUUAAAUCCAAUUAUUGAUUGCCCCAUAAAAAUUUCUGGUAGGCGUAAAAUUUAAAUUAUAAGAUUAGAGAUUAAAUGUAACAUGACUUUUUAUGAAUAUGUCCAUUAGGUCCAUUUUAAAAAAAAAUCACACAUGAAUCAAGGUUGUGACUUAUGUUUUAAUAUAUAAGAUUUGUAUCAGGUUAUUAUUACUGUAAUUUUUUUAUAUUCUUUAAAUAUUGAGAAAUAAUUAUACUCAAAGAUCUCAUAUUACGCUGUGAAAUACAAAGAAUCAAUAGGAGAUAAGAUAAGUGUUCUUCUUAAUACCAUCGUACUAUACAAUUUAAUUGUUUCCUUCUGUUUCCUGUCAGUAAUAAUAAACUAUUGCAACAACAGAAGUCACCACUUUUGUUUUUUUAUUUUAUAGAUUUCAUAUACACGUAAGGAAAAUCAUAUAAGGAGAUUCAGAUGGAAUGAGACCGUUUUUAGCGUAUAUCAG